rnacentral:tRNA from 1 species
CAAAAGAUAAGCUAAAUUAAGCUAGUGGGUUCAUACCUCAUUUAUGGAAGAUUAUCCUCUUUUUA